GACAACAAAUUUGGAAAUUCUGGGGUAAAAGGGACGCACAAGAUCUUCAUGUGAAACAUCUUAAACUGGCUGCAGUUAGCAUGGUCCUUAAGUCAUCCAAGCAUACAGAUUAUCUAAACUGUGUGUGCAUAUGUAUAGAUUUUACAUGCAAUCAAAUAAAUUUUGUUUGCUAAAUUUUUAGUUGCAUGUCUGUGUGUUAUCAUUCAUAUGUAUUAACACUUUUUAUGUCCUAAAAGAAGAAUUCAAAAUUUUUCUCUUUAAUUCAGCUUGAGGGGUCGGAUAAAACAAUAAGGUUAAACCAAAAAAUAUGCAUUCUAAGAAAAAGAACAUUGAGCAUUUAAAGUUUUCAAAUAAGCAAUGUUUAUCUGACGUUAGUGUAAAAAGUGAGGCAUGUUUAAAACUAAUUCAAUUUUCAAAGUAAUAAAAAUUAGUUAUUUAUAAUCAAGGAAAAAAAACAGGUAAAAUGUCACUCAUUGAUUUUUGAAUUUGGAAACAAGAAUUUUAAGAGCUUGGUAAAGAAAAUACAUUUAUUUAUGGGAGGAAAGGUUUUUAAAUACAUUCUGUUAAUUUUGUCUUAUAGUUUUAAAACAGGUACUCUAAGAGUAAGUGCCACCUAUAGAAAAAAGUACAUUCUCCUGUCUGCUUGCAUGUAAUUUAUUUGUGUGGUUUUAAAAUUCUUGCGGCAUCGAUGAGAUAAUUGUUUUAUAUUGUAGUCAUGUCUGAUUUCCACAUGCCAUAUUAAUUGAUUUACCCAUUCUGGCAUGUUUUAUCCGACCAUUUGGUUGUCAAAUAAUUGUAAAAAAUUAGUUUUCUGCAUUAAAAAAUGUAAAAGGAAUGUGCAUUUUCAUCUGUUCUCAGAAUAACACACAGAAAUGCCUCUUUAGAAAGAAUAUAUAUAUAAAGUUGGUAAAAAGUCAAUUGUAUGAUAAACAUUUGUUUGGUGAAAGAUUUAGCAAAAAAAUUUAGCUGCAUCAUACGCACACAGUUGAUGUGUAUGCUUUUUCAUGUGUAAUAUUUUUCAUAUGCCCUCAUUGUCUCAGCUUUCUUUCAUUUCAUAAUUUUAAAUCAUUACCUUUACCUUUUCUGUCUAUAAAACUUAAAAUCUGCUGCCAUUAAUGAGAAGAAUUUUUGUAUAAUUUAUCAGUUUCCUCUUUUGCAUGAACAUCUUGUGUACUGACCAAAAAAUUCCUUGUCAAGUGGAACAGUUUUUGGUUUACCUUUCAUAUACUGGAAAAAUAAAGAAAGGAUUUUUUAAAUGUU